CCUACGGGGGGCAGCAGUGAGGAAUAUUGGUCAAUGGGCGUAAGCCUGAACCAGCCAAGUCGCGUGAGGGAUGAAGGUUCUACGGAUUGUAAACUUCUUUUAUAAGGGAAUAAAGUGAGGCACGUGUCCCUUUUUGUAUGUACUUUAUGAAUAAGGAUCGGCUAACUCCGUGCCAGCAGCCGCGGUAAUACGGAGGAUCCGAGCGUUAUCCGGAUUUAUUGGGUUUAAAGGGUGCGUAGAUGGGCUGUUAAGUCAGUGGUGAAAGUUUGUGGCUCAACCGUAAAAUUGCAAUUGAUACUGGGAGGCUUGAGUACGGUUGAGGUAGGCGGAAUGCGUGGUGUAGCGGUGAAAUGCUUAGAUAUCACGAAGAACCCCGAUUGCGAAGGCAGCUUACUAAGCUGCCACUGACAUUGAUGCACGAAAGUGUGGGUAUCAAACAGGAUUAGAUACCCUGGUAGUC
rnacentral:rRNA from 1 species